GGAGGCAGAAGAAUGGAAGCCAAGUGGAGCCUGGAGGAUAAAGCAGGAGCAUGGAGGGUCCAUGGAGGGGUUAGACGGGGCCCACGGAUGGCAGUGCAAUGGCAAGGUGCUUUGAUGUAUGAUAAAAGUAUGUUGAGGAUAUUUUGGCCUGUGGGAUCAACAAGCCCAGCGUGGUCAUGUAAUUUCUCCUAAAACGUGCUUCCUGGUUAUUGGCCUAUAAUUAUGUAAACAGCCUCUUCCUUUUCCCCUGUUAUCUAGAAGCUUUGCUCACUGGGAGGCAAUCAAGUAGUCCUUCUGGAUCCAAAAUGAGGUUUCAAACAGAUCCCAAGUGAAAUUUCCAAAGAACUUCCAGCUCAGUUG